rnacentral:rRNA from 1 species
CGCUUCUUUCCUCCCGAGUGCUUGCACUCAAUUGGAAAGAGGAGUGGCGGACGGGUGAGUAACACGUGGGUAACCUACCCAUCAGAGGGGGAUAACACUUGGAAACAGGUGCUAAUACCGCAUAACAGUUUAUGUCGCAUGGCAUAAGAGUGAAAGGCGCUUUCGGGUGUCGCUGAUGGAUGGACCCGCGGUGCAUUAGCUAGUUGGUGAGGUAACGGCUCACCAAGGCCACGAUGCAUAGCCGACCUGAGAGGGUGAUCGGCCACACUGGGACUGAGACACGGCCCAGACUCCUACGGGAGGCAGCAGUAGGGAAUCUUCGGCAAUGGACGAAAGUCUGACCGAGCAACGCCGCGUGAGUGAAGAAGGUUUUCGGAUCGUAAAACUCUGUUGUUAGAGAAGAACAAGGACGUUAGUAACUGAACGUCCCCUGACGGUAUCUAACCAGAAAGCCACGGCUAACUACGUGCCAGCAGCCGCGGUAAUACGUAGGUGGCAAGCGUUGUCCGGAUUUAUUGGGCGUAAAGCGAGCGCAGGCGGUUUCUUAAGUCUGAUGUGAAAGCCCCCGGCUCAACCGGGGAGGGUCAUUGGAAACUGGGAGACUUGAGUGCAGAAGAGGAGAGUGGAAUUCCAUGUGUAGCGGUGAAAUGCGUAGAUAUAUGGAGGAACACCAGUGGCGAAG